UGUUCCUCUCCUUUACGCGUCUUCAGUUCAACGAUGUCCACAGAAAUUCUCAUUUCUCCCUCUCUUCCCCCACCACCCCAAUCUAUCCUCAAGGGUCUAUAAAUUGGUUGAGGCCAAGCCACAUUAAGUUCACUCAACAAUCUUGUCUUCACGUUAAUUGUGUUGUUAAGAAAAACAUGGCAUCAUCCUCCAAGACUUUUCUGCUUCUUGGCUUUAUGUUUGCUCUUGUGAUCCUCAUCUCCUCUGAGGUCUCAGCUCGUGAGCUAGUGGAAAUUACGAAGCCAGCAACCACUAUUGGGGGUAGAGCCUUAAAACCCGGGCCAGCCAUCAGUUGCGGUCGUAAUCCGUAUUCUAAAUGCCUACCUAAACCGAGAGGGCAUGGUCCCCCAGCACCCGGUCCCGGGAGAGUAUAGGCACAGCCAAGGGCACCAUGAAAAACCAGGACUUGGUGUUGCUGAGACUGAAACUGGGAAUUAAAUAAAUAAACCCUUUUUCAGUGGAUAUUGCGGGUACCAUGUGGUAAUAAUUAAGAGUUUGUUUUGUCAAUAAAGGUUAAUGUAAUGUAUUGGUUGAGUUGUUAAUAAAACUCUCAAUCAUAAAUAAUUAGGAUUAUAAGGCUUAUCUUUGUACUAGUACUCAUAUCAUACUGUGUAUCAAUGAAAAUCUCCAUUAAGAGUAACUAUAUGUUGAUGGAAGUUUUAAAAUUAAUUCAA